CAAAGAUGGAGAAAGAUGAAGAUUUUUUCUUUCUGUUGCAUAUUUGUUUUUAAAAUUUACUCUGUAGUUUUGUGUGUGUGUGUUUUUUGCUAUUGUAUUGAUAAUUGGAAAUCAGGAGAAAUGUGUAUGUUCUGACGGACAUUUCAGGUGCUGGCAAAAACCCUACAGGCCUACAAUGAAUUGCCCAUGCUGUAUUAUGCUGGCAAGUGCUCACGCUCUUUUGACGACAGUGAUGGUAAAGAAAUCCAGAGAGAAAAAAAAAACAAGGAUAGUGAUAUGAAGAUUUGGAUAUCCAGGUCUCGAUGAAAUUCUAAUGACAUUUGGCGCCAGAAGAUGGCAGUGUAAGCGCGGGAAAGGGAAAGGAAGUCCUUUUUGGGACAUUUUAACAGAUGGAGGUGAUAGGCGGUUCUGAGUAGGGCGAGACGGGGCCCUGUCUGUACUGAGGUGGAGGCUGUGAUGGGUGAUGACUGUGGUGGUGUGUCUUCUCGAGCUCCCCUCACUCCAACUCCCUUGUGACCGGCAGCUCGGCACUCCCAGUGCUCUCACCAGCCCGUGUGGACAGGAGGAGCCGCUGCUGGCCUUCAGGACUGGAAAGUAUGCGCUCUGUGGCCGCAGUCCCACCUCUCAGCCUGGGAACGGAAGCAGGGAGUUACAAGGGAAAACAAGCAGACAAUCAGUGCCCUGGGCUUUGCAAUGGAUAGCUUUCCCCCACCCUCCUGCUCCAAACGGCCACCCCCACCCCCAGCGCUGAAACCUGGCCAGCCCCAGCUGUCUGUCCAGAUGUGGGAGAGAAGGAGAGGCAAGGUCCAACAAGGGAUGAGGGCCUGAAACAGAAAAGGGCUCCAGAAAGAAUCGAGCAGAAAGAGAACCAAGACAGCAAAGAAGAUGGAGAGAUGUCAAGGGGAAGUCCGAAUUUGUUCCCAGGGUCUUUAAGUAAAAGGUGGACGAUGAAUGGAAAGUUGUCACAAAGGCUUCCAUUUAAUCUCCAGAUGGUUCCAAAUGAGAGGAUCAAUGACACCAGGCUAUGCCUACUUCGAAAAGUCAGCGCAAUCAAGUCUGAUCUCAUGAUCUCAGUGGACUGGAACAUGGCCUAUCCCAGAGAGUGCAGACUUGGCAUAGUCGUAUCCAUUUAGUUCAUGCUUGCCUGCGCAGGUCCUUCCAGGCCGGUCCUGAUUUAUGAACGGCCCCUGAGCUCUCACUCCAUCCUGGAGGGGCUCUCUGAUGGAGAAGAGAGGGUGAGUGCAAACACUCAUGCAUCCACUCACACACCCCAGCAUUUGGUUCUAAUUACACACGGAGCGACUCAAGGGCCGGGUGUCAUCUAGAACACGGAGCUAGAUUUACACUUGACAUGUUUUAUUCACACAGGUUGGUCCUGGCCUGGUAAUUGCAACAUAUUAUCUGGGUCGAUUCAUCAAAGGGAGCAGCCUGCUACAGUAAACUUUUAAAUGAACGACUCAUAUGGGUCGCAGACGUGAAAAGUGGAGGGUUUUAUUAGCAAAAAAGAGUUAACCAACAAGUACAGUCCAAUUGCUUGGGUAAAAGAGGUGUUUGUGAAAUGUUUAUGGCUUUUUUGAGAAAUACUUGGAAGUGGCGUCUGUUUUUGCAGAACAAGAUUCAGGUUUGAUCAGCCAUCAUUUCAUGGCAGUAAUUUAUGUCAUGUUUUAACCAUCUUAAAACCAAAAUGUGGCACAUCAGAUGAGAAUGUCCCUUCUGUAAUGGUUGUUAACCAAGGGCUACCCCUUGCUGAUUUAACAGGAGUGUUAAUAUGUAAAGCCAGUAAACACGCCAGUGGAAUCAGAGACUUAAACACACUGCCCUGCACUUAAUGCACUGAAGGCCUUAAUGUACAGCAAUGAAUUGAAUCUGGGGUAGAUACAGUAAGUGUGGUAUGUGUAAAUGUACAUUUAUAUUUAGUCAUUUAGCAGAUGCUUUUAUCCAAAGCAAUUUACAAAUGAGGACAAUAGCAACAAAUAGCAUUAAUAUGCAAUGCUAUGACAAGUCUCAGUAACCCUAAUGCAGUACACGUA